rnacentral:rRNA from 1 species
GAUGAACGCUAGCGGGAGGCCUAACACAUGCCAGCCGAGCGGUAGAGUUUCUUCGGAAACUUGAGAGCGGCGCACGGGUGCGUAACACGUGUGCAACCUACCUUUAUCUGGGGGAUAGCCUUUCGAAAGGAAGAUUAAUACCCCAUAAUAUAAUGAUUGGCAUCAAUUAUUAUUGAAAACUCCGGUGGAUAGAGAUGGGCACGCGCAAGAUUAGAUAGUUGGUGAGGUAACGGCUCACCAAGUCAAUGAUCUUUAGGGGUCCUGAGAGGGAGAUCCCCCACACGGGUACUGCGACACGGACCAUACAUCUAAGGGAGGCAGCAGUGAGGAAUAUGGGACAAUGGGUGAGAGACUGAUCCAGCCAUCCCGCGUGAAGGAUGACGGUCCUAUGGAUUGUAAACUUCUUUUGAACAGGGAUAAACCUACCCUCGUGAGGGUAGCUGAAGGUACUGUACGAAUAAGCACCGGCUAACUCCGUG